rnacentral:tRNA from 1 species
AGCUUUCGGGCCCAUACCCCGAACAUGUCGGUUAAACCCCCUCCUUUACUA